rnacentral:lncRNA from 1 species
CCCACCUUUAAAGUAAUUGUAUUCGUGAAUGCUAUUCUUUCAAAUAAGGAGUACGUAAAUAAAAACUGUUGUAUGAAUCUUUAAAAAUCCAUGUUAACUUCUGAAAUCCAGAUAGAGCUUUCUACAGGCUGUCUGACACAAUUCUGGGGUAAUACACAAGUAAUUUUAAGCUAUUUGGAGCCUACAGAGAUUAUAUCAGAGGACAUCUGCAGAAUAUCAGCGUUUUUGAAAGAGGUGCAGGAAGAAUCAAAAGUGAAUCACUCCAGCGGAAGUUCCAAGGAAGUCCUUUCAUUGGCCAUGGUCUUGGAGAAGAUGGGUGUUCCUCCCAGGUUAAAAGUCCCCUUCUUCCACACCCCUUCGGACUCCAUGUUUGGAUCCCCUUCCACUCUGGUGGAAGCCGUCUUUGUCUCUCCCAAAUUUCAUCUCUGAAGUCCUCUUCCACACUCUCUUGUGGAGCCUGUCCUCCCCUCCUAUGCUCCGUCUCUCCCUCUAUUCCCUUCCAGUUAGUGUGGAAGCUGCUUUCCUCUCCUGGAUUCCAUCUGUCUGGAUUUCCCCACUCAGUGUAAGAGUUAGCUGUUUCUUUCUCUCUUCUUCUCCUUUUUCUCUUUCGUUACCUAAAUAAAGUCACUUUCUACAAGGACUUUUGAGUUCAGCAUUUACUUUUACGAGCGCACUGUACCGUGGUCUCCUCUCCCAUUCUUGGGGAGCGAUAGACCAAGAACCUGGAGAAACAGCCUCUCGG